AAAACAUUGGGAUCGUCGGUCUACCGAACAAAUACACCGGUUUUGUGAAAGAUCUUCCCUUUGUCGU
rnacentral:pre_miRNA from 1 species